AAGGUUUGACAUCACCCGUGGACCUGCAGAGAUGUGGGGUCAUUUAGUUGGUGGGUGACAGGUGGUGCAUGGCUGUCGUCAGCUCGUGUCGUGAGAUGUUGGGUUAAGUCCCGCAACGAGCGCAACCCUUAUUCCAUGUUGCCAGCACGUAGUGGUGGGGACUCAUGGGAGACUGCCGGGGUCAACUCGGAGGAAGGUGGGGAUGACGUCUGCGUAACAGAA
rnacentral:misc_RNA from 1 species